CUGGAGGAAGAGUUCAUUGAACAAUGUGACUGAAUGUUAACCAAUCAGAAGCACCGAUGAGGUUCAUCUGGAUGAAACAGGAAAUACAGUCUAGGUGUUUUAUUUCUAUAACCCUUGUUCCUGUGCGGUGCCUCUCCAACCUGGACAGGUGGCCAGUCCAUCGCAGGGCCAUUCCCAGACUCUCCAGCGCCCCCUGGAGGAUCUCUAUACACUAGAAGGGACACAUACUGGCCACUUUAUUAGGUACACCAUUUCAGUCAGCACAGAGAAUCAGCCAAUCACAGUCAAACACGGUGAAGUUCAAAGUCAGGGUCAGAAAGAGGAAGAAGGUGAAAUCAAAUUAGUCAGCGUGGCAUGGUUGUCGGUACCAGACGAGUCCAUCCAAGUACUUCAGAAUUUGCUGAUUUACUGGGAUUUUCAACAACAACCUUCUCCCAGCGAGGGUCAGGAUGGAAGAAUGUUUCCAUGUCUGAUGCUUUGACCUGAAGGAAUCCAAUAUGCAGUUUGUUUCCAGCCCAUCCCACAGUCUUGGUGCUGGUUCUGGUUCUAAUCCUGGUUCUGGCACUCAGCUCUGGCUGCUGCAGGUGUGUCCAAUCAGACAGGUGUGUGUAUCCAGACUGAUGAAGCUGCAGCUCUGUGUGUGGAUUCUGCAGCUGGACAGAGAGGUUGCUGUCCCUCUGGGCGACGUCCCUUCAGGCAGGUGAAAAACACCUGAACCAUCAACCAGAACCUGGGUCCAGUUGGACUGACCUGGUUCGGUUCUGAGGAUCAAAGGGUUGUGUUACCUCUAGUUCUGAGUCUGAAAAGGUAAAACACCGAAAUACAAAUCAGAACCUGGAGGAUGUUUAACCAGGUGAACAGUUUAAAGAUGGCAGAACACAAAAUUCUACCAGAACCCGGCUUAGAUCCCGGUUCCUGUAGUUGACAUGAACUGAGGUCUUAUGAAGGUUCCUACAGAUGGAGAGCAGCUAAACCUCCAGAGCUGAGUUCAGGCCGUGGAGACCAGAACUUGAGUGGUGCCAGGCCGACCCGUUAGGUACCACCCACUAGGCUCAGCACCGUCUCCUGAGGACUCUGGAAGCGGUUUGGGUUCUGGAUUCCUGAACCCUCUGGAGGGUCAGGUCAGAACAGAUGAGAACCAGAACCAGAACCUGCUGAAUGUGACUCUGAAUGAAACUCUGCAGGAACACUCCACCUUCUCUGCUUGGUUUGGUUUCUUCAGUGAUGUUGCAGGUCUGCGCUCCUUUACGGUGGGUCGUCUCGGCUGCCCACUGCUUCAGAAGGUACAACAAAGAAUCUCUCUGGAAAGUCCUGGCAGGAAGACAUGACCUGGAUAAGGCUGAAGACCCAGAGGAGUAGCUGGUGGGAAUCUCCCAUAUCAUCAGCCACCAGGAGUACAACUCCAGGACCAAAGAGAGCGAUGUGGCUCUGCUGAAGCUUGAGCAUCUGUUGGUUUUCAACCUGUAAACCUGAUCAUUUCUUCCACUGGCUACUGGAAGGUCCUCUAGGUUUAGAUCUUCACAGGCCGCCUCUCUUCUCUGCUGCAGAAACUCUCCAGAAUUCAAACUAAACAGAAAAUCUGGAACUUUAUCAGUUUAUUGAAAAAUCAACCUUAAAUCAAAGCCUAAACCUCACAAAUGCAGUUCUCAGACUCUGCUAGAUGUAGGACAUUUUUUCCAGAAGUCUCAACUAAAAUGCAACCGAUGAGACUGCAUCGGUUGCAUCGGUUGCAUUCUUGCUGAACUUUACUGGCAGAAUCCAAGUCUGGGAGGGGAAACGGAGGACCAGUGAAGGUGGAGUUUAGGACCCUGGGUCAAGGGUGAAGGCCUCCAUCAGGGGGUCAGACUCCCGCUGACCAGCACCAACUGGAGGAAACGGACCUACACAGGUUCUGAUUUUCCCUAGAAAGCACAACUAUGGAUGGUAUUAGAAAAGCAACAGGUCAGAUCCGGUCCAGUCCGGUCUGAGACGGUUUGGACGUCUGAUGGAGGAGCAGCAGAAGGAAACUAGCAUGGCUCUCCAGAGGCAGAUCAGCAGGUUCUGCUGUCCUCAGAUCAACCAUCUGAAACAUUUUAAAAGAGCCAUUUCUCCUCGGGUCCAUUUCCAGCACCAGUUCUGGGAGGUUCUGGAUGGGCAGCUCGGACUUUUGGGAACAGAAUGAGACCAGAACCCAGAAUGUUUCAGCUGAACUUCUCAGCAGCUCAGGAUCCCUCAGAUGUUUUCCUCCAUUUUGUAACGAACCAUUUGAGACCCGUCUACUAAACCCGGGUCCAGAACGUUGACCUGGGCAGCACUUGGUUCUGGAACUGUUCAGACCUGACGUGGAUCCUCUGCUUGCUACUCUUAUGGGAACUCCAUCAGAACCAGAACACUGUAGAACUUUUACAUCUGAGCUUCAGUUGGUUCCUGAAGGCGUCCAGGUUUAG